ensembl:lncRNA
AAAUAAGCGACAUGGGGUUGUACAGUUGAUCAUGCCCUGCACUGUCACAAAUCUCAAACCAUCUCAAACUGGUUUGUUGAACAUGACAGUCACCAGAUGUUAAUCCAAUGGAGCAUCAUAGUGGAACCAGAAAUUCUCUAAUUUUCAGCACCUUAUUUAAUCUCAGUCCAAUGGAGCACUUUUUUGGAUGCACAGCCUACAAAUCUGCAGUAACGGUGUAAAGCUAGUAUGUCAGUAUGGACCAAAAUCAGAGGAAUGUUUCCAGCACCAUGAGGAAUUAAGGCAGUUCUGAGGCAAAAGGAGGUCUAACCUGAUGCUAGAAAAGUGCUCCAUUACAGGCACCCUGUCUUGGUGGUGCUAAAUGGGCAUGAAUGUGUCACAUUUGCACUGGCAGACCGUGCUGAGGGAGAAGGACCCAAAUCCAGAUGCUCGGAACGAAACUAUAAUUUAACAAAAGUCAAGCAGUUCAUUUUUGGCUGGAAAAAAGGUACAAAAAAAAGGCAGAUGCACACUGAGGCCAAACUAACUAGAACUAAAGUGGAAAAAACAAAAUGCUAAAAACAAAAGAGGCGAAGAACAAAAUCUUGAACAUGAUUAAAAACCUGAACAUGAAAAAACCUCAGAGACAGCUUAAAUACACAGAAGGGUGGUGAGGGACGUGGACACACACGGGGAACACAGCUGACACAAAUGAACAUGACGCCACAGGUGAAGCAAAACUAAACACAUUGAACAUGGAACACGAGACUGUCAAAAUAAACCAGGAAACAUAAUGAGACGAAGACUGUGACAGCACAAGCCUGACAAUAUGACAUGGAAAACGCAGACAUGAAACAUAACAGACUGGGGAGACAGAAGGAUACACAAGGAGAGGAACAGGGAAACAGAUAAGGGGAACGAGGCUUAGACAUAACUAAAAAUCAUACGUAAAGUACAAGUGACUUACACAGGAAACAGAAAACAACACAAACAAGGGAGCAUGGAUGAAAUUUUAACUAAACAAAACCUAAGACAUACUAAUAAUAACAGUAGAACUUACCAUUACUCUAAUACAUCAUAAGAAAUCAGACAUACAAAAUAAACUCAAAAUGCUGGGUCACAAACCCAGUGCCCUGACAGAAUUUGACCAUAAAUGGUUGUCUGUCUCUCAUGUUGGCCC